CUGACUGAAUAGGUAGGGUCAUUUUUCUGUGACUGCACAUGGCCCAACCUAUUCAGUUAGUU
rnacentral:pre_miRNA from 1 species